GACGUAGGGCGCGAGCGUUGUCCGGAUUUAUUGGGCGUAAAGAGCUCGUAGGCGGCUUGUCGCGUCGAAUGUGAAAACCUGCAGCUCAACUGCAGGCUUGCAUUCGAUACGGGCAGGCUCGAGUUCGGUAGGGGAGACUGGAAUUCCUAGUGUAGCGGUGAAAUGCGCAGAUAUCAGGAGGAACACCGGUGGCGAAGGCGGGUCUCUGGGCCGAUACUGACGCUGAGGAGCGAAAGCGUGGGGAGCGAACAGG
rnacentral:rRNA from 1 species